UACGACUAUUAAUUCUGGUAUAUGCGGAAAAAAAAUUAAUAAUUAUUGCGAUAAAUGCCUACGAGUUUCGAACGUUAUACGACAUUAAUAAUAAUAAUGUUAUUGAACUUCCGCGUGUCGGACAAUACUCGUUCUGCACAGCAAAUCGGAAAUACACCUCGAUCCGCUAUACGAACCCCCCGAAAUGUGGCUACGAGUAAACUUCUACAAUAAUGACCUU